GGGGGGGGGGGGGGGGGGGGGGGGGGGGGGGGGGGGGGGGGGGGGGGGGCGGGGGGGGGGGGGGGGUCGAGGGGCGAACGGGGGAGGAACACGGGAGGAACCUGCCCUUGACUGUGGGGUAACUUCAGGAAGCGGGGGCUAAUAGCGGAGAGGAGCUCCUGCUGCAUGGGGGGGGUUGGAAAGGUUCGGCGGUUGGGGAUGGACUCGCGGCUUAUCAGCUUGUUGGGGGGGUAGUGGCUUACCAAGGCUUUGACGGGUAGCCGGCCUGAGAGGGUGACCGGCCACAUUGGGACUGAGAUACGGCCCAGACUCCUACGGGAGGCAGCAGUGGGGAAUAUUGCACAAUGGGCGGAAGCCUGAUGCAGCAACGCCGCGUGCGGGAUGACGGCCUUCGGGUUGUAACCCGCUUUCGCCUGUGACGAAGCGUGAGUGACGGUAAUGGGUAAAGAAGCACCGGCUAACUACGUG
rnacentral:rRNA from 1 species